GUUGAUUUCAUAAGUAGAGCUAGUUAUUUGUGCUCGAAACAAGAUGCCGUGGGGUUGUGUAAAUAGUAUUGCGGAAUCAGAAAUGUUCGGCUUCUGCAAAAUUUUGCUGUGAUAUCUUACUUAAUAGACCCUUAUUGGCCACUGCAGGGAGCUUUCAAACACAGUUCUUGUCCACUAUCGAGAAGUAAAGCCCUCAGAAAAUUCCUGACUUCCAGUCAUGGAAUCAUUUCGCGAAAAUUUGUGAUGUCAAUGUUGGAUCUCUUCCUUCUCAAUGUCACCCAUCAUUUUCUUCCACUCAAACCAAAACCAUUGGAAGCAUUCCUUAACAAGGUGGAAUUUUGGAACAGCUUUUUGCCAAAAGUUUUGGUGAAUCCCAGGAGUUUGGGAGUCACCUACAGGUCCAUGGGGAGUAGCAGACAUUCGAAAAUGAUUCUGCUAGCAAAUGUCUCACAUAUUCAGACUUGGCACAAGAUCUUACUUCAAGGUUUUCUGAGCAAGACAUUGAUUGUGUUGAUUUACUUGAUUCCUUUGCACCUUCAUGUG